GUCUACGGCCAUGCCACCCUGAACAACCCCGAUCCCGCCUGAUCUUGGAAGCUAAGCAGUGUCGGGCCUGGUUAGUAUUUGGAUGGGAGACCACCUAGAAAGACCAGGUGCUGUAGGCA
rnacentral:rRNA from 1 species